rnacentral:rRNA from 1 species
GACGAACGCUGGCGGCGUGCCUAAUACAUGCAAGUCGAGCGCUUCUUUCCUCCCGAGUGCUUGCACUCCAUUGGAAAGAGGAGUGGCGGACGGGUGAGUAACACGUGGGUAACCUACCCAUCAGAGGGGGAUAACACUUGGAAACAGGUGCUAAUACCGCAUAACAGUUUAUGCCGCAUGGCAUAAGAGUGAAAGGCGCUUUCGGGUGUCGCUGAUGGAUGGACCCGCGGUGCAUUAGCUAGUUGGUGAGGUAACGGCUCACCAAGGCCACGAUGCAUAGCCGACCUGAGAGGGUGAUCGGCCACACUGGGACUGAGACACGGCCCAGACUCCUACGUGAGGCAGCAGUAGGGAAUCUUCGGCAAUGGACGGAAGUCUGCCCGAGCAACGCCGCGUGAGUGAAGAAGGUUUUCGGAUCGUAAAACUCUGUUGUUAGAGAAGAACAAGGACGUUAGUAACUGAACGUCCCCUGACAGUAUCUAACCAGAAAGCCACGGCUAACUACGUG